GCGGCCACGGGGGCGAGGUGACGUCCCGCAGCCGGCGUGCGCCCGACCUGCGGGACCCCAAGGCCUCACCGGUUCCCGGUAGGGCCCCACCUGGCCAGGAGCGCGCGAGCGCGGACAGCCGCCGUCCCCCCAGCUCACCUUUCGUCAGCGUGUCCAGCACUCCCGACUUCUCCAAGUACCUCCGGAACUGCUCGCGCUUCGAGUCGGCGGCCUGAGGAGAUACGGCGGGUCAGGGACCGGAGCCCGGGGCCGGAGCAGGAAGACGGCGCGCCCCGCCGCCGCCCCCAAGCCCUGCACGCGCCCCAACUCCCACCCGGCGCCGCCCGCACGCCCCGAGCCACGCCGCGCCCCCCUCACUUUGUAAUGGGCCAUAGUGACAGCCACAGCGGCGUAGCUGGCGCCGGAGACACGGGCUGGCGGGCUCCAAGCCGCACUGCUCAUGCGCGGAACGGCAUGCGCGUCUGCGCACUGGGCGGGCACGGGCCGGGAUAGCCGGGGUGUGGCCUGUUUUCAUGGCGACCGGGACGCUGUGUAUCCCUGUCUCCGCGGAGCCCAGGGAGACUGCGUGCGCCCGCCCUCCGCGGUUCCGGGCAGCCCGCAUCUUCCUCUUCCGGUCGCUGUGGAGACUCGGUUGCCUAGCAAGAGGCAAGGUUUCGGUAAAUCCCGGCGAGCGUCCUGUGGAGUCCUGCGUGGUGCGGCUUGGAGUUAGCGGCUCUUGGCGGAGCUCCUCCCCACGAGGUAACUGAAAUUAGAUAACUACAACCCCAAGCCCUGGCACUCCGGGUUGCUCACGUUCCUCUGCAGCACACCCCAGUCCUGCUGGUUGCAGACCUCCAUUGCUGACCUACUCAAAAGGCAUGGCUUUUCCAUCUUCCUCUUCUCCAUUUCCCUUCUGACAGAGAGUAAAAACAGUUUAUAUAUA